GACGGAGGAUGCAAGUGUUAUCCGGAAUCACUGGGCGUAAAGCGUCUGUAGGUGGUUUAAUAAGUCAACUGUUAAAUCUUGAGGCUCAACUUCAAAAUCGCAGUCGAAACUAUUAGACUAGAGUAUAGUAGGGGUAAAGGGAAUUUCCAGUGGAGCGGUGAAAUGCGUAGAGAUUGGAAAGAACACCAAUGGCGAAAGCACUCUGCUGGGCCGACACUGACACUGAGAGACGAAAGCUAGGGGAGCGAAUGGG
rnacentral:rRNA from 1 species